rnacentral:rRNA from 1 species
CCUACGGGGGGCAGCAGUGGGGAAUAUUGGACAAUGGGGGCAACCCUGAUCCAGCCAUGCCGCGGGUGUGAAGAAGGCCCUCGGGUUGUAAAGCACUUUCAGUGAGGAAGAACGCCUGGUGGUUAAUACCCAUCAGGAAAGACAUCACUCACAGAAGAAGCACCGGCUAACUCCGUGCCAGCAGCCGCGGUAAUACGGAGGGUGCGAGCGUUAAUCGGAAUUACUGGGCGUAAAGCGCGCGUAGGUGGCUUGAUAAGCCGGUUGUGAAAGCCCCGGGCUCAACCUGGGAACGGCAUCCGGAACUGUCAAGCUAGAGUGCAGGAGAGGAAGGUAGAAUUCCCGGUGUAGCGGUGAAAUGCGUAGAGAUCGGGAGGAAUACCAGUGGCGAAGGCGGCCUUCUGGACUGACACUGACACUGAGGUGCGAAAGCGUGGGUAGCAAACAGGAUUAGAUACCCGAGUAGUC